rnacentral:tRNA from 1 species
CCGGGACGAGGGAAACGGCUGACCCGCUCGCUUUGGGAGCGAGAGACACGGGGUUCGACACCCCGGUCCCGGACCG